CCAUUCCAAGUAUGUCGGUUAAGGGCACAUGUUAUGUUCGAGUGAAACCAACGCGUAUAAUGAAAUGAAAUUACACUUCUACCCUUUCCGAUCUCCUUCAUCUUCUUCUUCUCCGAAUCUCUGUUCUCAAUAAACAAACAUUUUCAUAUCAAAAAACAACCUUAAUCAAUGUCGCAUCCUAAAACAUAAACCUUAAAAAAAAAAACUGCAUUUAUUUUUCAGUUGAAGAUAGAAAGAGAAAAUUUCAAACCUGGCAAAUCUUGGAGGAUUAAGGGCUCGUUCUUCAUUGAAGCAACCUUCCCUUGAUUUAAACGACGACGACGAAGAGUGUCGUCCUUGGCGUCGAAGAUUCAC
rnacentral:lncRNA from 1 species